CUUUAGGAUAGUCCAGUCCAAUCCAUCAUUCCAUAUACCAAGGGAGGUCGUUUCAAAAGCACCACCUCGCAACCAGAACCGCAUUGUGGCCCAAAUACGCCCUGGACCCAAGCAACCCCAUCGCCCGGCUCACGGUGUUCAUGUGUUCCAUAAAGGUGCGCCAGGUGUCAGGGUCCACACACCUGCCCGCCCACCUGUCCACACAUCUGCCCGCCCACCUGUCCGCACACCUGUCCAAACAACUAUCCACACACCUGUCCAAACAACUGUUCACACACCUGCCCGCCCACCUGUCCACACAUCUGCCCGCCCACCUGUCCACACACCUGUCCAAACACCUGUCCUUACCACACACUGCUCCACGUUCCGUCCCGGUGCAUGGGACAUAUCGCAAGAGCCAGUAUCAUUUCUCGUGGAAGGCUCAACCGGGACGAGUAUUCACAUGGAGUAAGGGGGACGAGUACUGCACCUCACUGGGUCCGGGCUGGGAGCUAGUAAGCCUCGAGCUGCCUGACGAGAACUUCUACAUUAGCCAGGUCGUUGCCAGAGAGAACAUUAAGUACAUCUGGCUGGGAGGCUUUCGAGAACCAGGCUCCAGGUUCUUCGUGUGGCUGUCUGGAGGCGCCUUCAAGGGAUACAACUGGAGCUCAACUGGAGGGAGAGGCGUCCCACAGCCAGACAACAGAGAGGGCAACGAGUAUUACAUAGCGCUCCUCAACAACAUCUACAAGGACGGUAUUAAGUGGCAUGACAUCGCUAACUCUCACGAAAAGCCUGUGAUUUGUGAGAGGAUGAACCUUGGUGCCCACAAUGCCUGAGUGUUGAGUGACUGACUGACUGGUGGAGCAAUGAUAGUCAAAAGUGGCGCAUGCUGUGAUGUGUUUUAGCUAUUUGUUUACAUAGAGAGUGUGUGAGUGAGAUAGGAAGAUUGAUUUAGUUGGUUUAUUAGUAGUAGAGUGACUAAAAAGAGAGAAAGAGGGAUGUUUUGAAAUAUUUAGUCAUUUUCAAGAGAGAGAGAGAGAGAGAGAGAGAGAGAGAGAGAGAGAGAGAGAGAGAGAGAGAGAGAGAGAGAGAGAGAGAGAGAGAGAGA
rnacentral:misc_RNA from 1 species